UGGGGAAUAUUGGACAAUGGGGGCAACCCUGAUCCAGCCAUGCCGCGUGAGUGAUGAAGGCCUUCGGGUUGUAAAGCUCUUUUGGCGGGGACGAUGAUGACGGUACCCGCAGAAUAAGCCCCGGCUAACUUCGUGCCAGCAGCCGCGGUAAGACGAAGGGGGCUAGCGUUGUUCGGAAUUACUGGGCGUAAAGCGAGUGUAGGCGGUUGCCGUAGUCAGGUGUGAAAGCCUUGAGCUCAACUCAAGAAAUGCACUUGAUACUGGGUGACUAGAGGACCGGAGAGGAUAGUGGAAUUCCCAGUGUAGUGGUGAAAUACGUAGAGAUUGGGAAGAACACCAGUGGCGAAGGCGGCUAUCUGGACGGUUACUGACGCUAAGACUCGAAAGCGUGGGGAGCAAACAGGAUUAGAUACCCUGGUAGUCCACGCCGUAAACGAUGGGUGCUAGACGUUGGCGAGCUUGCUCGUCAGUGUCGCAGCUAACGCGUUAAGCACCCCGCCUGGGGAGUACGGCC
rnacentral:rRNA from 1 species